AGGCGCGGCGAGGCGGGUGGCGCGCGGCAGCAGGGUUGGGCUCUCGCCGUGAGUCGACGAAGGGAGCGCGGGCGCGCGCCCGCGUCCGCGCACUGAGAGUCGCCUCGGCCGCUCGCUUUCUCGACUCCCGCCUCGCGCCUCGAUCCUGUUCCGCCUCCCUCGGCCCUCCUGCCCGCCCCCACUCGUCGGCCCUCAGCUCAGAGACCUAAUAGGAUGGGGUCUUAGAGAAACAUCUUUUGAGCCACAGACUUCUUUGUUACCAGAAGGAAAAUGAAAGAAGAAAUUUAAAUACCACUUGAAGAGAGCUGAUCGCCACCAACUGGCCUCUGGGUGGAUUUGGCCAAUGGAAGCACCUGUAGAGGGAAGAGAGUGAGGUUAGGAUAUUUCUUCCUGCUGUCUCCGUGCUUCCCUGCAGAGAGUGUGAAGAAAUGACCCUGAAAAGCCUCUGGCAGAGGAUUCUUCUUUCAGGAUGGUGUCGCCUCCUCAGCAGCCCAUCCUCCUCCCCUGGACUCAAGCUCUCAUUCCAGUAACACUCCUUCCUCCUUCUCCAUCUUCAGGGGGAGGUUUGCCAGUCGGUGGGUUCUAAGCAUAUCUCGCUGAUUCCCCCCAACCCUGCCGACACCUCUGUAGGUCGUCCCUUCAUUAAAAUCUCUCCAUUUGAACUAUCUGAGUUUAAUUCCAUUUCCUCCUGGUAUCUCAGUGAUACACGGUAUCAGUACAAAAAUCUCGCUUCACCUUCAGAACCAACAGAUUUGAGACAUUUUAUCCUCUGUGGAACCAUUAGUUAUUUUGUCAUUGGUUGUAUCAGAAAAAAAAAUCAGGAAUGCAAAUCCUUCUUUAUUACAGAUUCAGAUUUGCAUAUUACCAAUGUUAUAUAUUUUAAACAAAACUAUUCAUCAUAAGUUUUAAAAAUUAACUACUGGAGUAGUUAAUGAAUCUGAAUGUAAUUAUGUAGCUUUCAUAAUAUUAAAGUAAAAAUACUAAAAGAAGUAUUUCUUAAAGAAGCAAAUGCUCAAUCUCCAAGUAAAUUUUAUUCUAUGCUCUUCCGGUAUAAGAAUAUGUUAAUAUCUUGAAAAAUAUCAUAUUAUUUUGUGAACUCAUAAAGCUAUUUUGAGUUUUUGUAAAAUGAAAACCUUACCAAAAUGUAUUUUAUUGUUGGAAAGCUUGACCGUUACUGCUGUUUAAUUUUUUGAGCUUGUAAACUUUAUUUGUGCAUGUUUUCAACAAAGAAGGAUUUUAUUGUUAUUACAUAAAACAGGUGAUUUCUAGAUUUUAAAAUCACAAAUUGAAAGCAAGGCACAAUAAUAUAUAUUUCAAGAUAUAGGUACUUAGGAGGCAUCCUUUUAGUCAUCUGUUCAAUGUAGCCAUCUAUUUUACACCUACUGUCUACUAUUGUUUGAGGUCCUUGCCAAAGUAUUGCAGGCUAGUUAGGAAACAUAAAACAAUUAGAAAGUAAUCUAUGACAAGUAAGCUAUCUAUAAAUGGCAAUGAAGGGUAGAACAAAUUCAAUGAAAAUAUCUAUUUAAUCCUAGUGUUUACUGGUCUAGAAGAAUAGGCUGAGUAAAUUAGUAUUUCUCUGGCUGUUGUGGUAACACAUUGCAUGCUAUAACAGUUUUAAGUAAUUACAGGUGCAUUGAAAUUUAUCUAUGGCUUUGUCAUCAUAUUCUAAAAUGUCAUGAGUACUUUUUUCUGACCUCAAUUACUAUGAAAUUGGUUUCCAAUAUUUAAUUAACCAAGAAUAUCAAGUCUAUAGGGUAUUAUUAAGGUGAGACUUCUGUAGCCUUUUCAAUAAAGACCAGAAUUUUGGAGUGCCUUGAACCUUAAUCAUUGAUCUUUAAUUCUUAUUAAGUCAACUGCCCACCUUUUAAAGACUGAGGCCCAGGAAGAGUAAGUUUCUCUGAGACAAUGCAUACAGUACAGUGCUUCUUGGGUAUUGGCUCUAAGACCAGAUGCAAAGAAAGGCUAAAAUCCCAUUUCAUUGUUCAUUAGGUGAGAACCCUUUGUUAAGCUGUGUAACCUCUGUGCAUAGUUUCCUCAUCAGCAAAGUCAGAAAAAGUAUGUACCUGAAGGACUGAUUGUAAGGCUGGGAUGAGAGAAUCCAUGUGAUCAGCCCUCACCAACAGGUGCUGCCCAGUUCAUGAGUGCUGCUGCUGUCCUGCCCAAGUACCCAGCUUGCAGAGUGCCAGAGUUAGAGUCCCAGGGGUGUUCUCCACAGCUGCAUGCUUGAUCCAGGCCUAUCAGGUGUUAUUUGUUGACGGAACCAGGCAUCAUCAGCAAACAAAACUGACAAAGCUUCCUGCCCUCUGUGGAAGGCAUCUGAGGAAGAGACUGGAUUUUGUAGCAACAUGUUAUUCUCAUUAUAAACUUUAUCAUUGGAAUACUAAAGCCAAAUCAUCCCCCAUCUCCUUGAUCAGGAUACCCACUUAAUCUAGGCAGCUACACAAUUGUGAGAGCCUUUGUUUUUUUCUGCUGAAACAUCCUUAAAAAGAUACCUCACAACCCAAGAUUUGGCUUUUCUUAAAUACGAUUUUUAAUUUUUUUCAUUUCUAUCUAGAGAUUUAAUUGGAAAUGGAAAAUCAUCAAUUUUCCAAUUAAAUGUCUGUUCCAAUCAACAUUAUACCUUUUAGGUUGUCAUUGUCAUUUUUAAGUUUAAGCAACUUUAAGGAUUUUGAAUCUGGCUGCCUGUAAAUUAAAGGUGAAAGUAAUCAUUGUGUUGGAUUGGAACAUUUUGUCAAUUGAGAGUGGUUUCCUUGUUCUUAGUGUAUGAAAAGUUUAUUUUUCUAAUGUAGAUU
ensembl:lncRNA novel transcript, antisense to CBLN1